CGCGUAGGCGGUUUCGGAAGUUAUGGGUGAAAGCCCCCGGCUCAACUGGGGAAUUGCCUGUAAAACCACGGAUCUGGAGUGCUGGAGAGGGAAGUGGAAUUCCCAGUGUAGCGGUGAAAUGCGUAGAUAUUGGGAGGAACACCAGUGACGAAGGCGGCUUCCUGGACAGACACUGACGCUGAGGCGCGGAAGCCAGGGGAACGAACG
rnacentral:rRNA from 1 species